UGAGGAAUAUUGGUCAAUGGGCGAGAGCCUGAACCAGCCAAAUCGCGUGAAGGAAGAAUGUAUUAUGUAUUGUAAACUUCUUUUGUCGGGGAAUAAAAAGGGGCUCGUGAGCCCUGUUGCAUGUACCCGACGAAUAAGCAUCGGCUAACUCCGUGCCAGCAGCCGCGGUAAUACGGAGGAUGCGAGCGUUAUCCGGAUUUAUUGGGUUUAAAGGGUGCGUAGGCGGCAUGUUAAGUCAGUGGUGAAAGUUCAAGGCUCAACCUUGGAAUUGCCAUUGAAACUGGCAAGCUUGAGUACAGUAGAGGUAGGCGGAAUUCGUGGUGUAGCGGUGAAAUGCUUAGAUAUCACGAAGAACUCCAAUUGCGAAGGCAGCUUACCGGAGUGUAACUGACGCUGAGGCACGAAAGUGUGGGGAUCAAACAGG
rnacentral:rRNA from 1 species